UCUUAGAUGACUGAGACUUAAGUGUUAGAUUUUUAAUCUAAAGACGGCAUAAAAUAUUAGGUGCCUCUAAGAG
rnacentral:tRNA from 1 species